UUUGUGCCUGCUGCCUAGAGGAAGCCUCUUGAUGGCCUGGGUCUGGAGGCCAGGGGAGCUUGGGUUGCUGGUCCCGUGGGACUGUAAUGAUCAGUGUCACUCAGAAGGGACAAACAUGCGUGGGUCUAUUUCUGUCUGCGCUAUUAUGUUUCAUUGAUCUGCUUGUCUAGCUUCAUGCCAAUGCCUCACCAUCUUGAUUAACAUUCUAAGAGGCUAAUUGGCCAGAGUCACUGCUGGAUUCAAAGGAGGACCCUGUGGAGCCACUGCAUGACCCAGGGGACUAAUCCAUCCAGACAAGAGGACAUUUAGAGCAGGAGGCAAUACGUAUAGAGUCAUUGGCUCCAAAGAAGAUGCAGGGUGAAGAAGCAGGGUCGCUGGCCUUACAAUACUCACAGGCAGAUCCGGGGAAUAGUAGAUGCACACUCCACAGUUAUGAAUGGUGGAAGGUGACAAACUAUGGAAGAAACUGUGGGGAAAAUCUUUCAACUGUAAAGUCCAGGGAAGAUUCAUGGAGGAAGUGAUUCUGAGCGGAGUCCUAUGGCACAGGUGCUGUGUAUGGAGCGAUAACCAGUAAACAAAAACCUCCAUUCUCAUGGAGAGCCUCCACAGAGCCAGGCAUUGAUGCUGCUAGGCCUGAGGGAUCAAGCCUUCCUUCCCUCACCAGGGUCGGGGUCUCCUGCACAAGGCACAUAAGGUCAUGGCUGAGGCGCUUGUGAUUCUUGUUAAUGCUGGAACCCUGCCUAUGACAAACAGGCUAGAAUAUUCACACAGUGCCAACAGGCAGCAAGCACAGACUUCUGUGACUCAGAGUAGGGACAGCUAAGACCCCAAUCACAGUGAGCUUGAGUAUCCCAUAACUCGUUCUUGCUGUUUCCCUC
rnacentral:lncRNA from 1 species